UCAGUAAGUGCCCUGUGGGUAUG
rnacentral:miRNA from 1 species